UCCGUAGGCGGACUAAUAAGUCAGGGGUGAAAUCCAACAGCUUAACUGUUGAACUGCCUUUGAUACUGUUAGUCUUGAAUUAUAUGGAAGUAGAUAGAAUGUGUAGUGUAGCGGUGAAAUGCUUAGAGAUUACACAGAAUACCGAUUGCGAAGGCAGUCUACUACGUAUAUAUUGACGCUAAUGGACGAAAGCGUGGGGAGCGAACAGGAUUGGAUACCCUGGUAGUC
rnacentral:rRNA from 1 species